CUUCAGCGAGCCGAGCAGCACGGGCCGUUCGCGGUCCUGGCCGUAGGUGGCGAGCAGGGCCUGGGCCUC
rnacentral:antisense_RNA from 1 species